CCUUUAUUCUAGUCUCCUCCAUCAAUCUCCUCCUCUCCUCUCUUCUAGUCUCCUCCAUCAGUAUCCUCCUCUCCUCUCUUCUAGUCUCCUCCAUCAGUCUCCUCCUCUCCUCUCUUCUAGUCUCAUCCAUCAGGCUCCUCCUCUCCUUUAUUCUAGUCUCCUCCAUCAAUCUCCUACUCUCCUCUCUUCUAGUCUCCUCCAUCAGGCUCCUUCUCUUCUGUCUUCUAGUCUCCUUAAUCAGUCUCCUCUCCUUUAUUCUGGUCUCGUCCAUCAGGCUCCUCCUCUCCUUUAUUCUAGUCUCCUCCAUCAGGCUCCUCCUCUCCUUUAUUCUAGUCUCCUCCAUCAGGCUCCUUCUCUCCUUUAUUCUAGUCUCCUCCAUCAGGCUCCUCCUCUCCUCUCGUCUAGUCUCCUCCACCAGGCUCCUCGUCUUGUGGCUUCUAGUCUCCUUCAUCAGACUCCUCCCAUCCUUUAUUCUAGUCUCCUCCAUCAGUCGCGUCCUCUCUACUAGACUCCUCCAUCAAUCUCCUCCUUCUCUUCUAGUCUCCUUCAUCACACUCCUCCUCUCCUUUAUACUAUUCUCCUCCAUACGUCUCCUCUCCUGUCUUCUAGUCUCCUUCAUCAUUCUCCUCUCCUUUAUUCUAGUGUCCUUCAUCAGCCUCCUCCUCUCCUUGAUUCUAGUCUCUUCAAUCAGUCUCCCCUACUCCUUUAUUCUAC
ensembl:lncRNA